AUCCAGUUGACGAGUUCUAAACAGGAUGAAACGCGUGUCCUGGAA
rfam:Schistosoma rodhaini strain Burundi genome assembly, scaffold: SROB_scaffold0016393